GACGAACGCUGGCGGCGUGCUUAACACAUGCAAGUCGAACGCUGAAGCUCAGCUUUUGUUGGGUGGAUGAGUGGCGAACGGGUGAGUAACACGUGAGUAACCUGCCCCCUUCUUUGGGAUAACGCCCGGAAACGGGUGCUAAUACUGGAUAUUCACUGGUCUUCGCAUGGGGGUUGGUGGAAGGGGUUUUUCUGGUGGGGGAUGGGCUCGCGGCCUAUCAGCUUGUUGGUGGGGUGAUGGCCUACCAAGGCUUUGACGGGUAGCCGGCCUGAGAGGGUGACCGGUCACAUUGGGACUGAGAUACGGCCCAGACUCCUACGGGAGGCGGCAGUGGGGAAGAUUGCACAAUGGGCGCAAGCCUGAUGCAGCGACGCCGCGUGAGGGAUGGAGGCCUUCGGGUUGUGAACCUCUUUCGCUCAUGGUCAAGCCGCAACAAUGGUUGUGGUGAGGGUAGUGGGUAAAGAAGCGCCGGCUAACUACGUG
rnacentral:rRNA from 1 species